CCGCCCCUAGCUCAACUGGUAGAGCAGCUGGCUUUUAACCAGAAGGUUCUGGGUUCGAGUCCCAGGGGGCGGA
rnacentral:tRNA from 1 species